CAGCAGAUGUGGUGUUGAUUAGGAUGACCUCCUGGAUGUGGUGGGCAGCAUCGACCUCUCUAAAAAGACUGUCAGGAGGAUCAGGAUCACUUUGUAUUUGCUCUUAUCUACAACCUGGUUGGCAUUCCUAUUGCUGCUGGUGUGUUCAUGCCCAUUGGCCUGGUGUUACAGCCGUGGAUGGGUUCUGCUGCUAUG